UACGGGGGGGGCAAGCGUUGUUCGGAAUUACUGGGCGUAAAGGGCUCGUAGGCGGCCAACUAAGUCAGACGUGAAAUCCCUCGGCUUAACCGGGGAACUGCAUCUGAUACUGGAUGGCUUGAGUUCGGGAGAGGGAUGCGGAAUUCCAGGUGUAGCGGUGAAAUGCGUAGAUAUCUGGAGGAACACCGGUGGCGAAGGCGGUUCUCUGGGCCUGUUCUGACGCUGAGGAGCGAAAGCGUGGGGAGCGAACAGG
rnacentral:rRNA from 1 species